ACAACAUUCCGAUCGUCGGUCUACCGAGCAACUUCACCCGCCCGCUGGAAGAUCUUCGCUAUGUCGU
rnacentral:pre_miRNA from 1 species